GGAAAAACAGGGAUUUCUAUGAAAAUAAGCAAUAUUUAAGGGGAAAAACAGGGAUUUCGGUGAAAAUCAGAGAUAUUUCACGGGAAAAACAGGGAUUUCUAUGAAAAUAAGUGAUAUUUUAGGGUAAAAAAAAGGGAUUUCUAUGAAAAUAAGCGAUAUUUAAGGUUAAAAACAGGGAUUUCUAUGAAAAUAAGCGAUAUUUCAGGGGAAAAACAGGGAUCUCUAUGAAAAUAAGUGAUAUUUCAGGGGAAAAACAGGGAUUUCUAUGAAAAUAAGCGAUAUUUCAGGGGAAAAACAUGGAUUUCGGUGAAAAUAAGCGAUAUUUCAGGGGAAAAACAUGGAUUUCUAUGAAAAUAAGCGAUAUUUCAGUGGAAAAACAGGGAUUUCUAUGAAAAUAAGCGAUAUUUUAGGGUAAAAAAAAGAGAUUUCUAUGAAAAUAAGCGAUAUUUAAGGUUAAAAACAGGGAUUUCAAGGAAAAUAAGCAAUAUUUCAGGGGAAAAACAGGGAUUUCUAUGAAAAUAAGCGAUAUUUAAGGUUAAAAACAGGGAUUUCUAUGAAAAUAAGCGAUAUUUAAGGGGAAAAACAGGGAUUUCUAUGAAAAUAAGCGAUAUUUAAGGUUAAAAACAGGGAUUUCUAUGAAAAUAAGCGAUAUUUAUGGUUAAAAACAGGGAUUUCUAUGAAAAUAAGCGAUAUUUCAGGGGAAAAACAGGGAUUUCUAGGAAAAUAUGCGAUAUUUCAGGGGAAAAACAGGGAUUUCGGUGAAAAUAAGCGAUAUUUGAGGUUAAAAACAGGGAUUUCUAUGAAAAUAAGCGAUAUUUCAGGAGAAAAAAGAGGGAUUUCUAUGAAAAUAAGUAAUAUUCCAAGGGAAAAAGAGGUAUUUCUAUGAAAAUAAGCGACA